AGGGUGUAAACGCUGCGGGCUUGGUGUUGGGGGUCCUUUGAGGGCGCCCAGUGCCGGAGAGAAGUUGUUAAGCCUGCUGCUUGGGGAGUACGUCCGCAAGGAUGAAACUUAAAGGAAUUGGCGGGGGAGCACCGCAACGGGAGGAGCGUGCGGUUCAAUUGGAUUCAACACCGUAAAACUCACCAGGGAAGACUGUUACAUGAAGGCCGAGAUGAAGACUCUGCUAGAUUUUCAGAGAGGAGGUGCAUGGCGUCAGUGACU
rnacentral:rRNA from 1 species